AACAAACGCUGGCGGCGUGCCUAACACAUGCAAGUCGUACGAGAAAGUCUGCUUCGGCGGACAAGUAGAGUGGCGCACGGGUGAGUAACGCGUGGAUAAUCUGCCCUUUAGUCGGGAAUAACCCAUCGAAAGGUGGGCUAAUACCGGAUGACACUGUGAAACUGCGGUUGAACAGUCAAAGAGAGCCUCUGUUUACAAGCCUUCGCUAAAGGAUGAGUCCGCGUACCAUUAGCUAGUUGGUAGGGUAAUGGCCUACCAAGGCGACGAUGGUUAGCUGGUCUGAGAGGAUGAUCAGCCACACUGGAACUGAGACACGGUCCAGACUCCUACGGGAGGCUG
rnacentral:rRNA from 1 species